AGAAUCAACGCUGGCGGCGUGCCUAACACAUGCAAGUCGAACGAGAAAGUGGAGCAAUCCAUGAGUAAAGUGGCGCACGGGUGAGUAACACGUGACUAACCUACCCUUGAGUGGGGGAUAACCUAGAGAAAUCUGGGCUAAUACCGCAUAAUACCUUCGGGUCAAAGGAGCAAUUCGCUUAAGGAGGGGGUCGCGGCCGAUUAGUUAGUUGGCGGGGUAAUGGCCCACCAAGACUAUGAUCGGUAUCCGGCCUGAGAGGGCGCACGGACACACUGGAACUGAAACACGGUCCAGACUCCUACGGGAGGCAGCAGUGGGGAAUUUUGCACAAUGGGGGAAACCCUGACGCAGCAACGCCGCGUGGAGGAUGAAGUCCCUUGGGACGUAAACUCCUUUCGAUCGGGACGAUUAUGACGGUACCGAGAGAAGAAGCCCGGCUAACUCGCGCCAGCAGCCGC
rnacentral:rRNA from 1 species